rnacentral:lncRNA from 1 species
ACGGCUCACUACGGCCAUUGAAAUUUGUUGAUUUUAAGCCCAUUUGAUCACUAGGCAAAUGAUAUUGAAAAAAUAAUAAAAUUUAUUUUCUAGGUACUCCAAAUACUCUAGAUCAAGUUUAACGAGUCGAUCGACGAUUCGAAAGUCGCAACAUCAAAAACGAGCUGGAAGCACGGAAGGCUCCGUGCUUCCGAUAGCAUAGUAGCCUCACUCUAUAUAUUAUGUAGGGCUACUAUACUCUUAUGUAUAAUAGUAUAGAACCCUUCAUACUCAUAAGUGUUUUCAAUGAUAAGCUUUCGAAUCGACGAUCUUACUUCGUUAAAAUAAUCUAGAGUAUUUGAAACUUUUAAAAAUAAAUUUCGUAAUUUUUUAAAAUCAUAAUAAAGUUCAUCAAGAGGUAUAAAAUGAACGGUCAAAAUCGAACGACAUCUUAAAAUGGAUGAUCGGAUCCUUCAAUUUAAAAUCAAAGUUAUUGAUCUUUAUCUAUGUAAUGAAUAAAAUUUUCUAUCAAAAUUCAAACCAAUUUCGAUUCUUUUACACCGUUAAACUAGCAAAAUAUCCCAUACUGGCCGUUAAAAAUUGUCAAUUUUGUGACCUGUUGAUCGUAAGGUAAAUAAUGUCGAAAAUAUAAAUUUGAUUUCUAGACAUUUUAAAUGCUCUAGAUAACGUUUAACGGUGUGGAUCGCCGCAUUUGAAAGCUUUAUUAUCAAAAACAAUUUAUGAGUACGACGCGAGUACUCAUAAGAGUAUAGUAGCUGGACUCUAUAUAUAUAUAUAUAUAUAUAUAUAUAUAUAUAUAUAUUAUAUAUAUAUAUAUAUAUAUAUAUAUAGAAUUAGGCUGGAAUACUAUUAAUAGUAAAACGUUCUUUUUGCUAUCAAGUUUUUAACCCUUGGAUGAAAAAUUGUAAGUUCAGGAUGAUAUUAGUCGGUUAGAGUUGAGUGGUCCCUACUGGGUUAUAGUAUUUAAUCCAAUGGUUAGAAAUAAUGAAAAGAGUUUAUCCAAAGGCUAAAAAACUAGCAGCAACAAUGAAAUUUUGCUA